GUCUCACUUUAUGGCCCUCGGUAGAGUGCCGUGGCCUCACACGGCUCACAGCAACCUCCAACUCCUGGGCUUAGGCGAUUCUCCUGCCUCAGCCUCCCGAGUAGCUGGGACUACAGGCGCCCGCCACAACGCCCGGCUACGUGUCUGAGCAAAUUUUAAAAAGUGAUGUACCGGACGCGGCCGGGCAAGAUGGCGGACAAAGAGAAGAAAAAGAAAGAGAGCAUUUUGGACUUGUCAAAGUACAUCGACAAGACUAUCCGCGUGAAGUUCUAGGGAGGCCGCGAAGCCAGUGGAAUCCUGAAAGGGUUCGAUCCACUCCUCAACCUUGUGCUCUAUGGGACCAUUGAAUACAUGAGAGACCCUGAUGACCAGUACAAGCUUACGGAGGACACGCGCCAGCUGGGCCUGGUGUGUGCAGGGGCACAUCUGUGGUGCUCAUCUGCCCGCAGGACGGCAUGGAGGCCAUUCCCAACCCCUUCGUCCAGCAGCAUGAUGCCUAGCAGCCAGCACAGUCUCCACAGCACCCACCAGCACUGGAACAGAAGGUCUUUUCCUUUUUGUAUAGGUUAAACUUUUGUUUUCUUAAUAAAACUGCAAACCUCAAAAAA